rnacentral:rRNA from 1 species
CCCAAAGGACUUGGCGGUGCCUCAAACCCACCUAGAGGAGCCUGUCGUAUAACCGAUANUCCCCGUUAAACCUCACCUCUCCUUGUCANUACCGCGUAUAUACNGCCGUCGCCAGAUUACCUUUUNAAAGAAAAACAGUAAGCAAAAUGGACAACACCCAACACGUCAGGUCGAGGUGUAGCGAAUGGAGGGGGAAGAGAUGGGGUACAUUUUC